UAUGAAACUAACCGGAUUUUG
rnacentral:snRNA from 1 species